AACUUACUUUUAAAUCCCAUCUACCAGUGGAACAAGCGAAACAAAUAAGUGGAAAGUAUUCUACCUUGCGGAAUAUGAAUAGUCACCAUGUAAAAAGGCAAUGGUUUCCCUUAAAGCAUUUUCAGCAAGCAGUUACACUGUGCUUUUACAGCUUCUUACUUUCCAGCCCCAGCACGGCUGCACAAAACUCCUUUCUCCCACCAAUGGUCUCUCUCUGCAGAUGCUACUAGCCCAGCCCUCAGUCUCUUGAUGGGAAAAAGGUCAGCAUGAGUGCUGAAAUGAUGAAAGGAAUUUUCUACAGGGUGGUCAAACACUGGCACAGAUCUCCCAUAGACGUGGUGGAGUCUCCAGCCUUGGAGAUGCUUGAAGCCUGACGGGACACAGCCCUGAGCAACCUGCUGUAGCUGACCUUGCUCUGAACAGAGGGUCGGACUGGAGGGUAUCCAGAGGUGACUUCCUGCCUCAGCCAUGCUGUGAGCUUGUGAAAUCCUAACUAUCAUGAAGAACAAUGAAGAAUCUCAUAAUAUUGAAUGACUGGGUGAUGACAGCAUGGGUAAAUACUGAGACUCAGUAAAUGCAAAUACUGCAUAUGAGGAAAGCCAACCAUAGCUGUAUAUUUACAAGAAUAGGAUCCAAAUUAACUACUACCACUCCAAAAAUAACAAGAAUAAGAAAAUAAUUUGUGAUUUACUGUUGAAAGUUCUCUGUAAAACAUCUUCAAUAUUCAAUGCCAGUCAAAAAGGCAAAUAAAAUCUUAUUACUUAGCAGGAAAGAAAACAAAAACAAGAUGUGAAGUGUCCACUUCCUUUGUAGAAAUCAUUGUUUGAGCUUGUUGUGAAUACUCCAAAGGAGCCUGGUAGAACUGGAAAAAAGCAGAGAAGGAUGAUGAGGAAUAUGGGAUGGCUCUGUGUAAGGUGGGGCUAAUAAACAAAGGUUCUUCUGCUUG